rnacentral:rRNA from 1 species
AUUGAACGCUGGCGGCAGGCCUAACACAUGCAAGUCGGACGGUAGCACAGAGGAGCUUGCUCCUCGGGUGACGAGUGGCGGACGGGUGAGUAAUGUCUGGGGAUCUGCCCGAUAGAGAGGGAUAACCACUGGAAACGGUGGCUAAUACCGCAUAACGUCGCAAGACCAAAGAGGGGGACCUUCGGGCCUCUCACUAUCGGAUGAACCCAGAUGGGAUUAGCUAGUAGGCGGGGUAACGGCCCACCUAGGCGACGAUGCCUAGCUGGUCUGAGAGGAUGACCAGCCACACUGGAACUGAGACACGGUCCAGACUCCUACGGGAGGCAGCAGUGGGGAAUAUUGCACAAUGGGCGCAAGCCUGGUGCAGCCAUGCCGCGUGUAUGAAGAAGGCCUUCGGGUUGUAAAGUACUUUCAGCGGGGAGGAAGGCGAUGUGGUUAAUAACCGCAUUGAUUGACGUUACCCGCAGAAGAAGCACCGGCUAACUCCGUGCCAGCCGCCGCAGUAA